GAAAAAAAAAUCCGUUUCGGCACCCCGAUAAUAACUGUAUUUUUCGGAUUGCAUACCAAAAAUGUGCGCAUAUCAAUAUUUUAUAUAUUAACCGAUGUCAAGGGAUAGGCGAAGCGGGAAAAGAAAAUCGAAUUCUCGACUUUUACAACUGGGGGGACGCUCUGUUACGUAUACCUAAACGAGCAUUCCGAACAAACUGUACAAUUGAGAUUGUAAUAAUUCGUUGUGUCCAAUAUGAAUAUGGCGCGUACUCUUUUCGAUAAAACCCGCGUACGUUAUGUAUACAUUUGGGUAACGGUGAGCUGCAGACGCAGAAAGCGUGCAACGCACAAGUAGGUAUCUGCAGUCGCAUACGCCCGCUAAGAGCGCAGCUCCGUAAACGGCCGAAUUAUCGGAGUGCCGACGUCCCGAUCUCAUUGUCUUCCGACGCCGCGGCUGUGUGUCGCGUGUACGCCCACCCGCCAUGCUUAUACGAGCAACUAACACCGUGAAUCGUUCUAAUGCAAAUGCCGUUCGACAGCACGCUGCCACGGGGUUUCUCGAGAAAAAUAACGAAGUCGCGGACUUCCUCGGAAACUUCGACUCCGGGCACACGCUCGUCGACAGCGCGCGGCGACGCGGCGAAAAACACAGCGCGGCCGGAUCGCGACCAUCUCGCGCGAUUCGUCGGGUUUUCGUUUUUCCCGGGGUCGCGUUGACGCGGUAAUUUGCGGGCGACUGUAACGGGUCCGCCCGAGUCGCGCGCCAAGCCCGCCGCUUAACAUUGCAGAGGCCGUGCGGUCUCCGGGACGGAGUGGA